ACCUAUUAUUAUUGUACCAUAUAUGUGAGUAUAAUACAAUGCAUGAAGAGAUAUUGCAAGUUAGAGGUGAAAAGGAUGCAAAGAUGUUUAAUGUUUUGGAGUUGAGAAUUUCAUAAGGAAUGUAAAAAUGUAAUCUUUAUUUGUUAGGAUAUUUUAAACUUCAUUAUUUUGAAAAACUAUAUAUACCACAGUAGAAAAUUGUGUAUUUCUUUCUAUAUAUACUAAUGAAAUGUUAAGUAAGCUUUAUAUAUU
rnacentral:lncRNA from 1 species